GGUCUCGAUCACCUGACCUUGUGAUCCGCCCGCCUCGGCCUCCCAAAGUGCUGGGAUUACAGACGUGAGCCAACUGUUCGAUUUUUCCUUUCCGUAUUCUGUUUUUUGGAAGCGAGUCACUAAAUCCAGCCCACACAUUGGGGGGAAAGAAAUUGAGCUCCACCUCCCGGAGUGGGAAGCCACUCCUCAGACCAGGAUUAGAAGAUUUUUCUUAGGGCUUCUAUUUUCACCCAGUGCAUGGUUCUAGAUUUCAGGUCACCUUUGAGUCAAGGACACGAUGGGGGAAUCCUGGAGGAAAAAUCAACAGGAAAUUCACCAACAGUUUGCUCUUACUUGAAGUUGUUUCCUUGGCAGAUUCACCCACUAUCAUUUGCUUUUCAGAGUCCUUAGAUAGCUGCUCUAUGAUUUAUUUGCAGGGUUUUCAGUUGCUUUUAGUAGGAGCAAGACAGAGUGAAGGGUGCAUAUACCAUCUUGAUUGGAACCAGAAACCCCUCAUUUAUUUUUUAUUCUCCAAUUAUGUCACGUACUCCCAUUCACUCAUUCACAUAUCCCUCAUUCUUUUAUGCAUUAUUAUAUACCUGCUUAUAAAAUCAUACAUAUGUCAAUGAAUACCCCUGAUUUGACCACAUAAUCAGGUGUUAUGCUAGUCACUACAGAUACAGACAUGAAAUAUUGUUACUAUCUCAAAAAAUUCUUGGGCUACAAAGAAAACAGAUGAAUUAUUAGAUGUAAAUACAGUGGAAUGACUGCUAUGAUAUAUGGAAGCCCCAACUGCCUUAAAUGAGGGGAUCUGUAAGGAAACAGCCGCCUGGCUUCAGGAAGUUGUCUCCUUUGGGGACAAGUCAACGUGGGGUAGGCAAGCAUUUCACUUUGAGAGGACAGCAUGCACUGAGGCACUGGAUUAGGAAAUCAAGGGGGCACGUUUGAAGAAGUGGUGUCUUACCUCCAACCUAGGCCUCCCUGAGAUUUCAGGACAGGGGUAUGACUGAACACAAUCCUAGAGUGGAGCACGAGGACUCCUCCAAGGUCAUCCCUGAGUUUAGAAAAUUUACAUUUGGUGGUUGGUCUCUCCUAUCCUAUUCUCACCCAUCCUGGGAAGUUCCAUCUGCUUGGUUUUCUAUUAUUUGCAGUAGUGUAGGCUUUGUUUCAAGGACCCUGGCCAGUUUGUCAGAGGACAUGCACAUCAUCUAUGAAGGGCAGAAAAAGCAGCAGAGCCUGACUUUGCAGCUGCGUCUGAAAAAGGGUCAGAGUAACCUGGCUCCCACCCCGUGUUCAAGUCCAAGAGGACCCAAGUCCUGAGAUUGACCAGUUAUCCUCAAGAGCAUUCCAUCUGUCUCUUUUCUCCUCGAUUCCAACCCCUGGGGGCUAAGAUUCAUUCCCGCGAUACGUGCAGGUCCUACAGCCUCUCUGGCCCUUCCCCUGUGCUUGGCCAAUUCAUUCAGCCAUUUAUUCAUUCAUGCACGCGUGGAUGUAUCCAAGUGUAUUCCACUCAUAUUCUAUGCCAGACCUUGGUUUCACCAUCCCUUUCCUAUGAAAAUUUUGUUUUGCCUUCUACGCUAUUUCCAUUUUUUCUACCUCAAUGAUUAUUUCUUCCACUUUCUUUUGUUGGAUUCUAUUUCUUUCUCUACUCUAUAAACGUGGAUGGACCACCUUUGAACUGUUCUCAUAAUCCGCCCUACUCCCACAUUCUUUAGCCCUGCUGUACUCACAGCCAAGGCAGCUGUGCAGUCCAGUGGUGAGACAGGGAAGGGAUGCAAGCGUUUUACUCAGUCACUUAGUCUGCCUGCCAGAGCCUCAAUUCCAGUAGCUGGGAUUUUCCCCUUAUUUCUGAGACAUUAAUGGGAUCCCUAGUUAUAGUCAUCUCUUGUGCUUGUGUCCCCUGUCCCUAAAUUUCUCCCUUGAAAAUGUGUUGGGCUCUUGCUGCUCCUAGCCUUUUGUUUCCUCCUAUAAUUGGAGCUCCUUCACCUGCAAACUCAACACCAGGGCCAGCCCCCCAUCUUGGAACACAGAAUCAGUUCCCUGUGGAUCUGGUCCAGUCUUCACUGCAUGCUUCAGUAUAAAGAGAAAAGCACAAACUGGGGUCAGAUUCAUCUGUGCUCCAAUUCAAAAUUGUGUGAGGCAAGUUGUGCAACUCUUUGAUCUCAGUUUUCUUAUUGUAAAAUUGACCACAGGCAAAAUUUCUGUUAUCUACUUUCUGUUAUCUACCUAUCUUAUCUAUCUAUCUACCUAACAAAACCCUAUGUUUAUAUAGAUAUCAAGUAAUCACAAACUUCUGGGGAGGAGGUUGAAGCCCCCAGUGGGUUAAUCUUGAUCUAAGCCAAUCAAAGUAAUUCCUUUAUUUUGCCAACAACUGCUUUAAGUAUGUGCAUGUGUUGAAAUUCUGGCCAAUGAGGCAUGAGGGGUAUGUUUGCUGGGAGACACAGGGAAAGCAUUUCUGCAAAAGAAAAAGGAGCCUCAGGGAAAGAAACACAUACUUUUCUGCCCCAGAAUGUUGUUAUCUUAUGUGAUGCCUGGGCUGUGUUAGCCAUUGCAUGAGGCUGCAUGUGGCAGACCAAAAGGACAUGCCAUUCCCCCGGGGGAAUGGCAAGGUAGAUUAAUGAGAAAACCUGGUUCUGGAUAACACUGUUAAGCCGCUUAAUCAACCCUGAAACUCUGCCUCCUCCAGUCUUCUUAUUGCAUAAGACUUUUUUUUUUUUUUUGUUUAAGUCAUUUUUAGUUGAGUUAAUGCUACUCACAGGCAAAACUAUUCUGAUAUACGGCAUUAGAAUACCUAUCUUACCAUGUUCAAAUAAGAGACUCUCUGCUCAUCUUUUAGAUCUCAGUCCAAAUGUCACCUCCUCAAGAAAGUCUUCCCUGAUUGUUCAUCCGAGCUCACAUUGUUCUGUCAUACAUUUGCCAUUAGCACUGUGUAUCGUUCCUUCUUUUCUUUCAUAGCACUGACGAGCGUUUGUUUAUCUGGUUAUUCACCCUCUCCCUCACUAAUCUAUAAGCUCUGGGAAGGCUGGCAGUGUUUCUUUUGCUGACCACUGUGUCUCUUGUAGCUAGAAUGGUGCCCAACAUGUAAUUGGUUCUUAAAUAUUUGUUAAAGAAUAAAAAUUAAUACAUGAAUAUCAAUAGGAAAAAAAACUGGUACAUAGCAGGAAAGUUUAUCUUUGUGUCCUUUCUGAGACUGAAAGUUGAUCAACUCUCUCCUUUUUUUCAUGUUGACAGAUGACUUUGUACCCAGUCAUUGGCUGAUGUGUUUCAAAACAACUUUAAAUGUACUUUGAAAUGCGCCAUUAUUUCAUCCCCUCAGGAGCCGGUGCAAUUCCCGCCACCCCUUGCUACUAUUCUUUCAGCAUUCAUGACAGUCAAGCAAACCCUUUCUUUGAUUUUUCUUCCUCUACAGGCUCUAGGUGACUGAUUAGUCAUUACUUGUGAAUAAUGGCCAGGGAGGUUGCUGAGCCAUGGAGGAAUCUGGCCACCUGGCCACUGAGCACUCAGCUCUCAGCUAGUAAGAUAAAAGCAAUUUUGCCACCAACACCAUCCUAAUAGGAUGUCCAAAGAGUUUCCUUCCACUGUUCAGUAGGGACCAUGAGGAUCAUGAAUGGAAGGUGAUAUGAGGGUUUGGGGAGGAAUAAACUGGAACAGCUUGUCAUCCCUCAGGAGUAUUUCGGAAACAAGCCAGCACACCAUGGUAAUUUAUUUUUGUGACACAUUAGUUUGCCUUGGAGGGAGAAAGUAUGAGAGUUUGGAGAGUUAGAGUUUACAGGGAGAGGGGCAGAGCUUAUCCUUAGUUCUCUCUUAUCCACUGACAUGGAACAACAAGGAUGGAUGGCAUUAGUAACAAUAAUAAAAAUUACAGGCUCAAAGGAAAUGGAGUUGACAGCAGAGAGUACACAUGGUUAGUUAUCUAGUCCAGCAUUUCUCAGAAGAUAUUUGGCAGAGCACAAGUCUCUCAAAUGCCCUUUGCUAAAAGGUUCAUGGUUAAAUUACUGUUCUUGGAGAACAGCAUGCACUUACUUGUCCACCACCCCACCCCCAGCCCUUUUGACUGUACUUUGCUCAGUAAAUAGGAAGGUCCCUGCAUUAUAAAUAAAUCAACUGGCUUUGUCUAACCCAGUGUUCUGGUGUUCAUUUCACCAAGGAAACCCUUAUUUUAAAAAAUGAAUAUUAACAGCUUCUGGAAGGAAGAUAUUUUAGGAAAUGCUGAUGUGAGCAAGGGUGGUUACUAGGUACUCUUAUCUAAUAUUUACUGAGAAAUUUAUUUAUUCAUUCAUUUAUUAGAGAAAGAUAUAUUGAGAGACUCCUUUGUGUAACGUAAUGGGCUGGGAGCAACGAACACAGAUUUGGCCAAUGCCUGCCUGAAGCUUAUAAUCUAGUGCACAAGACGAAAUCAAUUUCCCAAUUAAUUUCUUUUUUAUUACUGUGGUGAGUCUACAAUGAGGAGCGUAAGAUAUAUGUAAAUUUAAAUAAUGGUAUAAAAUAGAUGGUUAGGGGUAACCAGGGAAGCCAUGCUGGUUGUCCGGGACCGGGGAUGUCCUGUGAUGGGUGACUUUCAGUUCUAAAACAAAGACAGUCCUGGGCAAAUCAGAAUGGUUGCUUACCCUAAUAGACCAUGACUCCUGGAGUGCCAUCUGAAAAUCUUAUUAUGGCAGAGAGAACUCUGCCAGGCCGGAGACCUGUUCUCUGGGGUUGCUUCAGCUCCCUGAGCCUGACUUUCUGUCUCUGGGGAGUGGAGGUGAUGAAGUCUCCUUUCUCUUAUGUUUUUUGGGAAUAACAAGUGGAGUGAUUCCUAUAGAAAGCCUUUACCAGAUAUCACACGCUUCCUAAGCACAAGGGAUGAGUAUUCCUUUAGGGAAACUGUAGUUUGUCACUCCUUGAAGGAAAGCCCCUAUUUCUCCAGAAGAGGGUUUUCAGAGCACAUCUCUCGCCACACAUCCAGGUUUCUAAAUCCUCCAGCAAGAAGCGUUUUUCACAGAUCCAAGAACAGAAGCACCUGCGUAAGUUCACAUGGGAGGUGUAAAUCAUGGAGGGGAGCCAUUGAGAUGCUUCAAGACAGCACUUCCUCCAGGCCAGAGAAGGCCUCAGCCCAAGAAGCAGCUUCCUGCUGCUAGGCAGGGUGGGGACAGAGGGCAGUGCCUGGCCUCUGCAGAACCAAAGAGCAGGCUUGCAGUGGGCUUGUGUACUCAGGCGAGUCUCAUGAUCUUCUGGGGUUUUAAUGUCUUCCUCCGUAAGGUGGGAAUAUUGAUUUUUAUUUCAUCCAAUUAUUGGGAACUUUAUACUACUGCUACUAAUAUAGUCAGAAUUUAAUGAAUUUACCAUGCACUAGAAAUUGUGCCAUGUGUUUACAUAUACAUUUAAUCACCACAAAAAGUAGAUUUGGUUAUCUUCCAUCUGACAAAUGUAAAAAAUGGGGCUUAGAGAGGUUAGGAGGCUUGCCAAGGUAGGGUGACCAAUUGUCAUUGUUUGCCCAGGACCAAAAGUCCCACAUCGUGGGCAAUCCCUUAGCCCCAGGGAACCUGGGAUGGUUGGUCAAGCUAGAAAAUCAUACAAUUAGCAAGUAGUGGAGCUGAUAUAUAUUUGAGGUAGAAGAUUAUUUGUUAAAAUUGCUAAAAACACAACCAGCAACAAUUAUUAUUGCCAUUUUAUAUAGUAUGUAUAUAUCAUAUGCUUAUAUAUAAUGUAUACAUAAGAUACAUCAUAUUAUUAAUAUAGUAACACUCAUUAUUUGAUGAACUGCAAUUUCAGUAUAAACAAAGGGCUUCUAGCCUUCUAAGAAAGCCCCUUUCCAUUAAUAAUGCUCAUCUAACAUUAGUGCUACUCAUCAGUAUUUAUAGUUUUCUUCUUUCUGUGCCCAGAACCUUUGAUCUCAGGCAUGACCAGGUGAUUUGUUUUGACCAAUGAAAUGUGAGUGCAAGAGAUGUGCAUCACUUCGGGGCAGAAACAUGCAAGAAUCAGGGUGCAAUUUUUCAUCUUCCUUGCAGUAAAUGCUGAUGGUGCCUCUCCCAUAUCAUUUUUGCUGGCUGGGACACACUCCUCAGCUGCUGUGAGGGUUGGGGUGCUAACAGAUCAUAACUGUCUCUGCUCAGCAGGGUUAAGAGCACCAAAUCCGGAGUCAGGCCACCUAGUUCAAGUCCAGCUCUGACAUGAAAGGCUGUGUGCCCCUAGGCAAGUUGCUUAACAUCUCUGAGCCUUAGUUUUCUUAUCUCUAUAAGGGAGAAUUCCUACCUUAUACCGUUGAUGUGAGGAUUAUAUGAGUAAUGCUUUUAAGACUCUUGUAACAGUUUGGCACAUAGUAAGCCCUAAGGUUGGCUGUUUUUAUUUCUCCUGCUUUACUUGUUCUCUAGCAUAGUAUGACAGUGCAUACCAAGGUUCCUCAUAUGUUGCUCAAAAGACAAUUUUGAUUAACAUGUGGAGAGCCGAAUUCCAGAGAUGCUGAGCAAUUUCUUCAGCAUCACAUGGGGCUUAAUACUGGAGUUUGAAUAAGAACCAAGACAGGAGAAUGAGAGUAAUAACAACAAGUCAGCAAUUACUAUUCACUAGGUACUGCAUUAUCUCAUUUAAUCUUCACAAAAGCAUCUGAGUGGGACAUUAUUAUAACCUUCAUUUUACAGAUGUGGAAAUAGAAGCAAAAAAGGUGAAGUAAAUUUUUACUGUUAGUAGGUAGUGGCAGAGUUAGAAAAAAUAGAAAUUUGAUAUUUUAGGAUGAACUAUUAUUUAGCAACAAAAAUGGGAACUGUAAUUACUAUGUUUAAACAAUGUGUUGAGUAUUAGUUUCUGUUUAGAAGAGUAAACAUGAUUGCUUAUUUAUUUAUACAAGUAUUACAUACAACAUACACUAUUUUAUACUUUGCUCUUUAUAAAGUGACCUUUUAAUUUUAAGAAUAUCUAGAUUUGCAGAAAGAUUGCAAAAAUAGUACAGAGAGUUCUCACCUACCCUUUGCCUGACUUUCCGCAAGGUUAAUAUCUUACAUUACAAUGGUGCACUUGUCAAAACCAUGGAAUUAACAUUGGUACAUUACUAUUAACUAAAAUCCAGACUUUAUUUGGAUUUUGCCAGUUUUUCCACUAAUGCUCUUUGUCUAUUCCAGGGUCUAGUCCAAAGACUACCAAAUCUUAAGUGAACAAAAAGCCUUGGCGAUGAUGUAAAAGUUUGUUUGCUAAUGGAAUAAAGAUUUGAUAUUAGGGCAGUGUAAUUAUAGGUGAUAUUUUUUCCUAUGUUUAAAGCUUUAACACUUUUGUUACAUUAACUAUUUAGGAGAUGUUAUUAUUGGAAGCCUCCUGUACUGUGAGAGGCUGGCAUUGUCCAACUCAAACCAAGUUGUGGACUGGAAGAAGCACAAAUUAUCUGCUGGACCCAUGGUAUGAGGGAAAAGCAUGUGUGAGUAUGUGUUGAGGAGUGUAGGUGAUGGGAGAGCUGGUCCACCGUUUGUCACUAAGGAGGAACAGGAAGUGGCAGGGGCUGGAUGCACCUACAUUCUGCCUUGUCAGUCUGUAAUCCAGUGAUUGGUAAAUCUAGAAGUGACUUCAAAGAUUUCUUCAAAAUUGGCUUCUGAGGUUCUUAGAAAAAACAUUUAUUAAACAUCUACAGUUUUCUAAGCUUUCUGUUGGCUGCCUUACAUAUACUGUCUCCUAGAAUCCUCAAAAUAAGAUGUCUAUAUUCCCUUUUUAUCUUAUUUUAUUUAUUUCUGAGACAGAGUCUCACUCUCUUGCCCAGGCUGGAGUGCAAUGGCAUGAACACAGCUUACUGCAGCCUCAACCUCCUGGGCUAAAGUGAUCCUCCUGCCUCAGCCUCCCAAAGUGCUGUGAUAUCAGAAGGGAGUCACAAUGCCAGGCCCAUAUUCCCAUUUUAAAAUUCAAAAGAGAGGUCAGAGAGGAUAAGUGACUUGCCCAAGGACACACAGCUUGUCAGUGACAGAGCAAGGAUUUAAACUCAGGUUUUUCUGAGCUUAUUGGUUUUUGAUGUUCCAAAUUACACUUUUUUGACAUCUCCUCAAAAAAAGUCUUUUUGGAAUUUGACAUCAAAGGGAGGUCCUAACAUUCUACUGGGCAUUUGGCUAAGAGGCCUGAAGGGAUACCUAGCGAAAGAAUAAGAAGGUUUCAGGAGGCACAGUGGAGUUUUACGUGUGGAUGUGUGUUUGCAGAGUUGAUGUAGAUUUCAAUCUCUCACUGCUCUCUCCCUCAGCUGAACAAUAAUAAGAAAUCUUGUGUCAUCUGGUUAAAACUAGCAUUCUGGAGGUUUUGGAGCGGGGCCAGCAUGUGCAUGAAUGAGCAGGGCUCAGUCAGCCUCCAGGUCCAUUCAGGGGUUCCCUUGAAACUGACCAAGUUGAGUUUCCUGAGUUGGAUGCUUGGGAAACCUCCAACUUGGGUUUGAGGGUUCACAUGUGCAUUCAUGCACACAUACGUGCACAUGCAUGCACAUUCACGCACACACAUACAUGCACACACACGCACACAAUAAAUAAAGCAGAAUGAAAAAGCUGGAGGCACCCCAGUGUGCCCUAUUUACAAACCGCUUACUUCCUUCCGGGUGUUAUUUGAUUUUCUCCUUCACUGAGAAAUGGGGAGACAUCAGAAUGAGUGAUGUGCUGGAGAGAGGCCUCCCAACCAUCCCUCAGUCUCCCUCGCCCCCUCGGUCUCUUUCGUGUGACAGGAUGCCCUCAAUUACUCUCUCUGGGGGGGUCCCAGUCAGAAAGAAGAUGGAGCCAACCAUCUGUUACCGACUCAGUGAGCAAUUUAAUUUCCUCUUGUUCCCAGUGAGGAGGAUUUCGUAAGUACAUAAAUUAACGUCAGUCCUGCUUAAUCAGAAGCUGGCCGUCUAAAAGGGUGGAGACGGUCAAGCCAGAGACACCCACUGACCAGGUCCUACCAGGAGGACAUCUUGCACGCUGGUAGGAAAACCAUAUGAGAGAAAUGUCAGACACAGAAACUUCCUUAGGGAUCAUCGAAUCUGACACCUCUUUUAUAACUGAGGAAAUCAGAGCCAGAAAGGAAAAACAAUCUGUCUAGCUAGGCAGGGCAGAGUUAGGACUUGAACUAAAGAGCCCCAAUUCCCAAAAUCACUCUUCCCAACACAACACAAGGUAGAACAAUGACUUGAUUACUCGACCUUGGGUUUGAUCUCUAGAGGUAGAAUAAGAAAACAAUAGUCAUGAUAACAAUGACAACCUCAAGAGCUACACUGUAUGUAGCCGGCACUGAGAGAGGCAGACAGUGUGGAUUUAUUGAGUGGGCUCUGGAGCCAGGCUGCCUGGGUUUAAAUCCCAGUUCUGUCACUUACUAGCUGUUGGUCGGAGGGCAAGUUCUUAACCUCUGGGAUUUAGAGCAGACAUUCUGAGUUCGUGGCAUCUAUCCCUUCAGAUCCCUUCAGUACUUGCCUCUGAUCCAGCCCCACUUUCUAUGGCCAGCACCUGCAUCUUUGUUGCAGGGCUGUGCUUGGGCUUCCAGAACCCACUUUGUCAAUGUGCUCUUUGUCAAUGUGCAGGCCCAGUCUUCUGGGGGCAGCUUUGAACCAACGACCGACAGAUAAUGAGGGUAUAAAUGCCCCAACUCCCUUGCCUCUUGACUGGGAUAGUUCCAAGGCACGUGUUUUGCACUGUUUUUCACAGUUUCCCUGAAAGAUUAAGCACUAGUUACCCACUGUAGUAGCUGACUUAAUCAUGCGGUUAUUGGCUGGCUUCCCUUUUCUUGAUGUUACCCAUGCUCUUUGCACCUCUCCAGAAAUUAUUUCCACUUGAGAUCUUGUCUCAGGAUCUGUCUCUGGUUGGUUAGUCCAAGAUCAGACAGUGCCUCAGCUCUCUCAGCUAUAAAACUAUGAUAAUAAUAGUUCUUAUAUCACAGAGUUGUUACGGCUAAAUGGCCUAAAAUGCAAAGAACAAUGCCUGCCACUUAGUGAGAAUUCAACAAAUAUUAGCUAUGUGUCUGAUAAACACUUAUUUCAUUAUCUCAUUAAGUCCAUACUGUACAUACUAUUACUACCAUUAUACAAAUAAGACCAUCCAAGCUCAGAGAGGUUAAAUACUUCUCCCGAAGACCUGUAGUUGUAAGGAAAAUGUCAAGAUCCAAACACAAAUUCACUUUCAAAGUUCCUUCCAUUUUUGCCUUGGCCAGGAGGUUAUCCUCAGUACUCCCAGUCUGGGUCAAGGGUCCCUCCUCUUGUGCUCCUGCGACCUCAGCCACAGCAUUUGCUUCAGGGUAUUAAUAUGGCCCUCCUGCUCGUUGAACUGUUCCUUUAAGCUAUGAGCUAGGCAUCUCUGUAAGCUCAGCAUCUAGCCCAAUGCCCAGCACAUAGUAGGUUCUGGUGAGUGCUGAAUAAAUGACUACACAAAUCCAAGCAGUGCGUAAGCUGCAGAGGCAGGCAGAGGGUGAAGCCCGGCAUGAAAGUCUGUCUCAUGGCCUUCAGAUUUCAAUUGGAAGCAUCUUGGAAAUCUUCCCAGGCAAUUCUCUUCUCCUCCCACUCCUACUGCAGACAGGAUUUGCAAAUAUGGUUGGAUAGGUCUCUUGCGGGGGUUCCACAAUUUCAUCAAGGUGUCUAGUCCUCCCUAAAAUCUUGUCAGGAAGACAAGGAUCUCCCAGGUGACCACGUAGAGAUAAGCAGGAAUCUCAUCACAGUAACUGCUCCAUGUGAAGUCAUGCUGGACUGGCAGAAGCUUCCAAGGACUGUUACAAAAUAUGAGAAAAAGUAGGCAGGAGAUGAAAAGUGGGUUAAUGAGGCUGAAAAUACAGAUCUUCUAAUGAUAGUGAUGGUCUAAUCACCCCCAGCUCUUUUGAAUGCUUUAUACAGACGGGCCUCAACAUAUUGUUUAAGAAUCCACAUUCUGGAGUCAACAUUGCCUGAGUUUGAAUCUUUCUCUGUCACUUACUAGCUGUGUGGUCCUGGACAAAUUAUUCAGUCUCUCUGUGCCUCAUUUGUCUUACUUGUAAAAUGGGCAUGAUACCUACUUUCCUCACAGGAUUGCAUAAAUAAAUAGCAUGUAAAAUGCUGGGGCCAGUGGUCUCGCACAGAGUAAGCAAGUAGGCAAUUGCUGGUUUUUACCAGGCACUGAAUAACACUUAAAGUAAUAAAGAGUGGACUAAGACAAUCUCUGUUCUCAAAAAGCUCAGAAUCUAGGGUUCAGGUCACUAAACUUUUUUGAUUAUAUACCCCUUCUAUAAUAAAGAGCUUGAGCAUGUUCCUCCAAUAAAUGUUUCUUUACUGAAGGGAGAUGAACAAUGAAACCAAGAAGAAGGUACUGAGGAGUACAGAGAAGCAGUAUUCAGCCCAGCCCUGGGGGUGGUGACCAGUGGAAGUCAUGAAAGGCUUCCUGGAGGAGGUGAUACUUGAACCAGACACUGGCACUGGACACCUGAGGAGCAUGUGAAUGUCCAGACACUGCUGGCUCUCUGUACACGUGUGGUGUCUCCAGGGCCCCGGGCAAGCCUCUGAAGGUCACAGGACUAAAUGCCAUUUCCCCAGAGAAGCAGUCUGACCCUCAAGACUUGAUUAGGCCCAUCUAUUAUUUGUUCUCAAUGCAACCUACAUUUUCCUGCCUGCGACUUCAUAGCAAAUUGUAAGUAAUUAUGUAUGUAAUUAGUCCCCAUGUAUUAGGCAGAAUUCUGUCAUAUGCAAAUGACAGAAAACUCAAACUAGCUGGAACGAAAAGAGUGGAAUGUCUUGGGUAGCUGGAAAGGGUGUGAGUGCGACUCAGAAUGGAAGGACAGACGGAUUGCAGCCACCGGGGCCUCAGGGAGAGGACAGGGUCUCCACACAGUCAGAUUCUUUCUCUCUCCUCAUCUCUGAGGUUUGCUUGACCUCCUCUGCUAAUACUGCACAUAUGGAGGGAACAUGGUCACUGGCAUCUCCAGGUCCACACCUCACAGCUGCUGGAAAGGUGUGAUCCCCCUGCAUGAGUCAAAUACCCACCCACAGAACUGUCUCCACCUAGGACGUGGAGAUGGGCUACUGUGAAUGGCUGGGCCGUGGUCAUGUGCUCACCCUGCUCAGCACUGCCACUGAGAGGGCCCUCAGUGUCACAUGACCUGGAAGGGCAGUGCUACUCCUCAAAGGAUGUGUUAGGGUGCGGCAGGCCCACAACAUUUGUAUCUUUUUUAAUGCUAUAUCCCCCACAAAUACUUACAGAUAUUUUCUACUAGGUGUCAGCCACUGUUCUAGGUAGUAGAGGAUAUGAAAGUAAAAUCUAAGUUCUUGCUUGCAUUAGAGCUUAUACUGGAAUGGGGGAAGACAGAAAGCAAGCAUGUUAAUAAUCACAAAUGUCUCAGGUGGUGAUAUGUGCUCUGGAGAAGAACAAAACCGGGUACAGAGGGUGGGGGAUGGUGAAGGGACACUAUAUUCCGCAGCAUGGUUAGAGAUGGCAUGUUGAAAGUGGCACAGGCAGUACCAGAUGGUGAGGCUCUUCCGUGUUGUUCUGAUGGAUUGGAACUGAGUCCUCCUGCCCGGCUUUCUCCCUCCUUUUCUUCUCUCCCUUCCUCUGUUCAUUCUUUUGCAGUUUUUCUUAAAAUGUAGUCUUUAGAUUGUAUGUAUCAGAAUACCCACUGGGGGCAGGAUACUUGUCAAAAAUGCAGGUUCCCAGGCCUCUCCCAAGACCCAGAGAUUCAGACUCUCCGAGGUGAGGCCUGAGAAUCUGAAUCAUUAACCAGCUCUCCAGGCGGCUCUUAGGCACAUUCACAUUUGACAACUAUUCUCUGAGGUGGUAAUGAGAUAAGAGAGGCUCUGAAUAGGGAAGAAAACUGAUCUCACUUGUGUUUUAGAAAGAUAGGUCUGAAAUCUACACAGAGGGUGGCUGCAGGCCCAGAGACUGGGCUGUUGUCGAGGUCCCAGAGACCAAGAGAAAACAUGUGGCCAGAGGUGCUGGGACAGAGAGAAUGUUUAGGUGACAAAUGGAAAGGAACUGGUGACUGCUUGAGUGUGGGGAUGAAGGAGAAGAAGUGGUUCAAAGGCUUCCUCUGGUCUGACUAGGGUAUGUGGGGGUAGCAAUACCAUUCACCCAAAUGGGAAGUGCAAACAUCGCUGACACUGCACUUCUUUAUUUAAAUACUCUACAACCAAGAAGUAAUUUUAGAGUCCCAUAUUAGAGGAGUAGCUUUUGACUACAUUGAGCAGUUGGAUACAAACGUUCUUAAUUGUUUAUUUUCUUUCUUAUCUUCCUAGUAUUUCUACUUUUUUGAGCUUCUGAACCUUUACCCAAAAGGAGUUGGUGUUAACGACUUGUUUUUGUAAUCUCUGAUAUUAGUGUGAUUCAUUUGCCAAGGGGAGACCAUUAAGAAGGAGCCAACUUCAUCUCCAUGGCAUGGAGUGAGAGGUGGGGAAUGAUACUGAAGAGCUAAGAGAUUCAAUGCACUAAGAAUAUGGUGACCAGAACUUCUGGUUGUUCCAACUGGGAAUCUUGGGUGAAGUUGGCUGCUCUGUUGGAGAAAGCUCCCCAUUCCCACAUACCUGUAUAGAAUCCUGUAGGAUAGGGGAUAUUUCCUUAUCUCUCUUCACUCUCCUCCAAAGCUCCAAUGGAUGUAUUCUAGGUACAACUAGCUAAUAAUUGAGUGUAAGAAUUAUAUUAGAUAAUGCUUAAAAAAUUCUUGGCACUCCAUGCCACUCCACUUCAUUUCCUCAAUGAAGGAGGCUGGGCAGAUAUUACUAGCCUCCUUCUACACAUUCAGAGAAAUGAAGUGACUUGCCUGCGAUCACAGAGCCAAGAUAAAGAUCUGGCUUCAAAUCUUGGCCAGUUGUAUUUUAAAGUUUCUGUGUUUUUCACCACAGAGUAGGUGAGGCUGGGCAAACUGUGAGGACCUCAGUUAAACAGGCUGGUGCUGGGGAUGGCUUCUAUGCCAGGAGGAAAGAUCAUGACUAGUCUGAGAAGCUGAAGCAGCAGCCAUCUGAUCCUCUACUCCAUGGUGGCCCUUUCCAGACUACAGACUGUGGUUUCUCUGCUCAUCAGCAAUCAAAUCUAAAUUAUCUCCGAUAUUUGUUCAAUAACUCAGACGUGCUAAGGUUAGCUGUCUUAUAAAUUAUGGAACAGUUUAACUGAGUUAAGCCUGAGGCAUAAAUAACAGAGACUCUCCACCCAGUGACAGGGCACAAGGCUGGAGGCAGCAAAAACACAGUAAUAGUGACAGAAAAAAGGACUAUCUUCCUCUUUUAGGAGAAGCCUGACAGGGAGGAGGAAAGUAGAUGAGAAGGGGGCUAGGCAGGAGGGAAUUCCAGGACGAGGGGAUGACAGAGCAAAGGAAACAGGCCCUGGGGAAGAGGAGGAGCUUUGUGGAGGCAGAAGCUCAGUUUACUGGUGAACAUGAAAUCAUCCUUGGGGGUGUCUGUGGGACGUCCAGUGGAGGUGUCUGAUGAGUGCCUGAACACAUGGGUUACCGCUUCUCUGUUAAAAUGUGGGAAACAGCUAUAAUGCAUAAGAUAUGAGUGGUAGCUACGACCAUGGGGGAAAAACAAGGUCAUGGAAAGCAUAUAGA
rnacentral:lncRNA from 1 species